UACGGAGGAUGCGAGCGUUAUCCGGAUUUAUUGGGUUUAAAGGGUGCGCAGGCGGCACGGCAAGCCGGCGGUCAAAUCGCGGGGCUCAACCCCGCCCAGCCGUCGGAACUGCCGGGCUAGAGUGGGCGAGAAGUGCGCGGAAUGCGUGGUGUAGCGAUGAAAUGCAUAGAUAUCACGCAGAACUCCGAUUGCGAAGGCAGCGCACCGGCGCCCUACUGACGCUCAGGCACGAAAGCGUGGGUAUCGAACAGG
rnacentral:rRNA from 1 species